rnacentral:rRNA from 1 species
CAGCAGCCACGGUAAUACGUAGGUGGCAAGCGUUGUCCGGAAUUAUUGGGCAUAAAGGGCUCGCAGGCGGUUUCUUAAGUCUGAUGUGAAAGCCCCCGGCUCAACCGGGGAGGGUCAUUGGAAACUGGGAAACUUGAGUGCAGAAGAGGAGAGUGGCAUUCCACGUGUAGCGGUGAAAUGCGUAGAGAUGUGGAGGAACACCAGUGGCGAAGGCGACUCUCUGGUCUGUAACUGACGCUGAGGAGCGAAAGCGUGGGGAGCGAACAGGAUUAGAGACCCCAGUAGUCCCUGUCUCUUAUAA